AACGAACGCUGGCGGCAUGCCUAACACAUGCAAGUCGAACGAUGCCUUCGGGCAUAGUGGCGCACGUGUGCGUAACGCGUGGGAAUCUGCCUUUCGGUUCGGAAUAACUCAGGGAAACUUGAGCUAAUACCGGAUAACGUCGCAAGACCACAGAUUUAUCACCGAAAGAUGAGCCCGCGUAGGAUUAGCUAGUUGGUGAGGUAAAGGCUCACCAAGGCGACGAUCCUUAGCUGGUCUGAGAGGAUGAUCAGCCACACUGGGACUGAGACACGGCCCAGACUCCUACGGGAGGCAGCAGUGGGGAAUAUUGGACAAUGGGCGAAAGCCUGAUGCAGCGAUGCCGCGUGAGUGAUGAAGGCCUUAGGGUUGUAAAGCUCUUUUACCCGGGAAGAUAAUGACGGUACCGGGAGAAUAAGCCCCGGCUAACUACGUG
rnacentral:rRNA from 1 species